rnacentral:rRNA from 1 species
UACAGAGGUCCCGAGCGUUGUUCGGAUUCACUGGGCGUAAAGGGUGCGUAGGUGGUGAGGUAAGUCGGAUGUGAAAUCCCCGGGCUCAACCUGGGAACUGCAUCCGAGACUGCAUUGCUAGAGUAUGGGAGAGGAAAGCGGAAUUUCUGGUGUAGCAGUGAAAUGCGUAGAUAUCAGAAGGAACAUCAGUGGCGAAGGCGGCUUUCUGGACCAAUACUGACGAUCAGGUGCGAAAGCGUGGGGAGCAAACAGG